UCUAAACCUAAGAAUACUCAAUAUUGGAAUGGGACAGAGAAGAUUAACAUGGCCCCUGCACAAGGAUGUCAUGCAAAUUCAUGAAGCACUCCAUAUUUUU
rnacentral:snRNA from 1 species